ACAGGACGACUACAGAAUGAUUUACCUAUUGAUAUUUCUUAAUUAUUCAAAAUAAACUAAAGAAAGUUAACGAGAAGAAAGAAAAAGAGGAAACGAAAUCGAAGGCCAUAAUCUGUUUGCAAUAUACUGAUGAAGAAGGAAAUGAUAAGUAUACCAGGCCAAGGUUUAAUCAUUUUGUCAUAUAAUCCUUAUUGAAACAUGCAAAAGAAAUAACGUAAUAAACCAAUUUCAGAGCCA